rnacentral:rRNA from 1 species
GAUGAACGCUGGCGGCGUGCCUAAUACAUGCAAGUAGAACGCUGAAGGAAGGAGCUUGCUCUUUCCGGAUGAGUUGCGAACGGGUGAGUAACGCGUAGGUAACCUGCCUGGUAGCGGGGGAUAACUAUUGGAAACGAUAGCUAAUACCGCAUAACAGUAGAUGUUGCAUGACAUCUAUUUGAAAGGGGCAAUUGCUCCACUACCAGAUGGACCUGCGUUGUAUUAGCUAGUUGGUGAGGUAACGGCUCACCAAGGCGACGAUACAUAGCCGACCUGAGAGGGUGAUCGGCCACACUGGGACUGAGACACGGCCCAGACUCCUACGGGAGGCAGCAGUAGGGAAUCUUCGGCAAUGGACGGAAGUCUGACCGAGCAACGCCGCGUGAGUGAAGAAGGUUUUCGGAUCGUAAAGCUCUGUUGUAAGAGAAGAACGAGUGUGAGAGUGGAAAGUUCACACGGUGACG